ACGCACUAACUUGCACAGCAUUGAAUGGAAAAGGCUUUGUCCAUGUCCAGUUGAGGGCAUCAAGAACACGCAGAUGGCCUAAACCUGUGUCAGCCUGGACAGACUGCAGUUCUGCUACUCCACGCCAAGGCUUUUGUAUGGAUGUCUUGACUACUACUGUGUUCUCUAAAGGUAUUACUGGAGCAAAACAACAGCACCCGUUACAGUGAAAUUUGUAUUCAAAAAAAUAGUGAUACAUGUGUAGCAGGUCCAGUACAUUUGUCAUAAAGGUUAAAUCACAGUAAGUACUGUAAAAAUAACUUGUUUGCCUUUGCCACAACAGGUCAUGGUGUGUGCAUACUACUCGUAGUAAACACACACGCUGAUCUGAUGGGGGAGAGAUAUACGCAAACACAUUUGUAUUUACUG
rnacentral:lncRNA from 1 species